rnacentral:rRNA from 1 species
UACAGAGGGGGCAAGCGUUAUUCGGAAUUAUUGGGCGUAAAGGGCGCGUAGGCGGCCUGGCAAGUGGAAGGUGAAAUCCCUCGGCUUAACCGAGGAACUGCCCUCCAAACUGCUUGGCUUGAGUCCGGGAGAGGUGAGUGGAAUUCCCAGUGUAGCGGUGAAAUGCGUAGAUAUUGGGAGGAACACCAGUGGCGAAGGCGGCUCACUGGACCGGAACUGACGCUGAGGCGCGAAAGCGUGGGGAGCAAAGCGGG